UACAGAGGUCUCAAGCGUUGUUCGGAUUCAUUGGGCGUAAAGGGUGCGUAGGUGGCUUGGUAAGUUGAAGGUGAAAUCUCGGAGCUCAACUCCGAAACUGCCUUCAAUGCUGCUGAGCUCGAGGACUGUAGAGGAGAAUGGAAUUCACGGUGUAGCAGUGAAAUGCGUAGAUAUCGUGAGGAAGACCAGUGGCGAAGGCGAUUCUCUGGGCAGUUCCUGACACUGAGGCACGAAGGCCAGGGGAGCAAACGGG
rnacentral:rRNA from 1 species